GGAAGUAAAAGUCGUAACAAGGGUUUCCGUAGGUGAAACCUGCGGAAGGAUCAU
rnacentral:rRNA from 1 species